UACAGAGGGUGCAAGCGUUAAUCGGAUUUACUGGGCGUAAAGCGUGUGUAGGUGGCGGCGUAAGUCGAUUGUGAAAGCCCUGGGCUCAACCCGGGAAUGGCAGUCGAUACUGCGUCGCUAGAGUUCGGUAGGGGAGUGUGGAAUUCCUGGUGGAGCGGUGAAAUGCGCAGAUAUCAGGAGGAACACCCGUAGCGAAGGCGGCACUCUGGGCCGAUACUGACACUGAGGAGCGAAAGCGUGGGGAGCGAACAGG
rnacentral:rRNA from 1 species